UACGUAGGCAGCAAGCGUUGUUCGGAGUUACUGGGCGUAAAGGGUGUGUAGGCGGUUGGAUAAGUGUGGUGUGAAAUCUCCGGGCUCAACUCGGAGUCUGCAUCAGAAACUGCCGUGCUGGAGUGUGGGAGAGGUGAGUGGAAUUCCCGGUGUAGCGGUGAAAUGCGUAGAGAUCGGGAGGAACACCUGCGGCGAAAGCGGCUCACUGGACCAUAACUGACGCUGAUGCACGAAAGCUAGGGGAGCAAACAGG
rnacentral:rRNA from 1 species